ACGCACGCUGGCGGCGUGCUUAACCCAUGCAAGUCGAACGGAAAGGCCCUGCUUUUGUGGGGUGCUCGAGUGGCGAACGGGUGAGUAACACGUGAGUAACCUGCCCUUGACUUUGGGAUAACUUCAGGAAACUGGGGCUAAUACCGGAUAGGAGCUCCUGCUGCAUGGUGGGGGUUGGAAAGUUUCGGCGGUUGGGGAUGGACUCGCGGCUUAUCAGCUUGUUGGUGGGGUAGUGGCUUACCAAGGCUUUGACGGGUAGCCGGCCUGAGAGGGUGACCGGCCACAUUGGGACUGAGAUACGGCCCAGACUCCUACGGGAGGCAGCAGUGGGGAAUAUCGCACAAUGGGCGGAAGCCUGAUGCAGCAACGCCGCGUGCGGGAUGACGGCCUUCGGGUUGUAAACCGCUUUCGCCUGUGACGAAGCGUGAGUGACGGUAAUGGGUAAAGAAGCACCGGCUAACUACGUG
rnacentral:rRNA from 1 species